rnacentral:tRNA from 4 species
GCAAAGGGUGCCCUGCCCGGUCAAAGGCGACAGACUUAAAAUCGAUCUCGAAGGAUUUUGUGGGUUCGAAUCCCAUCCCUCGCA